GACAGAGGGUGCAAACGUUGCUCGGAAUCACUGGGCGUAAAGGGCGUGUAGGCGGGUAGAUAAGUCGGGCGUGAAAUCCCUAGGCUCAACCUAGGAACUGCACUCGAAACUGUUUAUCUCGAGUGCCGGAGAGGAAAGCGGAAUUCCUGGUGUAGAGGUGAAAUUCGUAGAUAUCAGGAGGAACACCAGUGGCGAAGGCGGCUUUCUGGACGGUAACGUG
rnacentral:rRNA from 1 species